rnacentral:rRNA from 1 species
UACAGAGGUCUCAACCGUUGUUCGGAUUCAUUGGGCGUAAAGGGUGCGUAGGCGGUCGUGCAAGUCGGAUGUGAAAUCUCAGGGCUCAACCCUGAAACUGCAUUCGAUACUGCGUGGCUAGAGUGCUGGAGAGGAGACUGGAAUUUACGGUGUAGCAGUGAAAUGCGUAGAUAUCGGGAGGAACACCUGUGGCGAAAGCGGCGCACUGGACCAUAACUGACGCUGAGGCGCGAAAGCUAGGGGAGCAAACAGG